GAAAGAGAGUGUCACGAAGAAGGGAACUGCUGUCAUUAUUAGCUUGGAAUGGAAUUUGUAUUUUGACAAAAGAUGCAGACAUUUUAAGACCCGCUGAAGUACUCGAUUUGCACAGCGCCGGCAUAUAAUCAUCAAGUUUGAUGAAAUGUCCUAAUAUGUAGAUGUAGAUGCUAAGUCAUUCAGUCACCUAGCUUGUGAGAAUGGAAUGCUCACAAAAAGGACAAGAGCGAGAGAGCUGUAUGGAAAUUUACACAAAGG